rnacentral:rRNA from 1 species
GUAACGGCUUACCAAGGCUAUGAUGUUUAGGGGUCCUGAGAGGGUGGUCCCCCACACUGGUACUGAGACACGGACCAGACUCCUACGGGAGGCAGCAGUGAGGAAUAUUGGUCAAUGGGCGCAAGCCUGAACCAGCCAUCCCGCGUGCAGGAAGACGGCCCUAUGGGUUGUAAACUGCUUUUCCAGGGAGAGAAACUUACGCACGUGUUGCGUGACUGACGGUACCCUGGGAAUAAGCAUCGGCUAACUCCGUGCCAGCAGCCGCGGUAAUACGGAGGAUGCAAGCGUUAUCCGGAUUCAUUGGGUUUAAAGGGUGCGUAGGCGGGCUAUUAAGUCAGUGGUGAAAUCCUGCAGCUUAACUGCAGAACUGCCGUUGAUACUGAUAGUCUUGAGUUUGGUUAAGGUAGGCGGAAUGUGUAAUGUAGCGGUGAAAUGCUUAGAUAUUACACAGAACACCAAUUGCGUAGGCAGCUUACUGAGCCGACACUGACGCUGAGGCACGAAAGCGUGGGGAUCAAACAGGAUUAGAUACCCUGGUAGUCCACGCCGUAAACGAUGAUUACUCGCUGUUGGCGAUACACUGUCAGCGGCUAAGCAAAAGCAAUA